rnacentral:rRNA from 1 species
UACGUAGGGGGGAAGCGUUGUCCGGAUUUAUUGGGCGUAAAGAGCGUGUAGGCGGCCAUUCAGGUCAGCUGUGAAAACUCGAGGCUCAACCUCGAGACGUCGGUUGAAACCGUUUGGCUAGAGUCCGGAAGAGGAGAGUGGAAUUCCCGGUGUAGCGGUGAAAUGCGCAGAUAUCGGGAAGAACACCCGUGGCGAAGGCGGCUCUCUGGGACGGUACUGACGCUGAGACGCGAAAGCGUGGGGAGCGAACAGG